GACGAACGCUGGCGGCGUGCUUAACACAUGCAAGUCGAACGAUGAAGCCCAGCUUGCUGGGUGGAAGGGUGGCGAACGGGUGAGUAACACGUGAGUAACCUGCCCCGAACUCUGGGAUAAGCACUGGAAACGGUGUCUAAUACUGGAUAUGCACCAUGGCCGCAUGGCCUGUGGUGGGAAAGAUUUAUCGGUUCGGGAUGGACUCACGGCCUAUCAGCUAGUUGGUGAGGUAACGGCCCACCAAGGCGACGACGGGUAGCCGGCCUGAGAGGGUGACCAGCCACACUGGGACUGAGACACGGCCCAGACUCCUACGGGAGGCAGCAGUGGGGAAUAUUGCACAAUGGGCGCAAGCCUGAUUCAGCAACGCCGCGUGAGGGAUGACGGCCUUCGGGUUGUAAACCUCUUUUAGUAGGGAAGAAGCGAAAGUGACGGUACCUGCAGAAAAAGCACCGGCCAACUACGUGCCAGCCGCCGCCGUAA
rnacentral:rRNA from 1 species